rnacentral:rRNA from 1 species
UUUUCCGGUUGAUCCCGCCAGACCUGACUGCUAUCGGAUUGAUACUAAGCCAUGUGAGUCAUUGUAGUAAUACAAGGCAGACGGCUCAGUAACACGUAGCCAAUCUAACCUAUGGACGGGGAUAACCUCGGGAAACUGAGAGUAAACCCCGAUAGAUCAUAAUGCCUGGAACGGUUUAUGGUCCAAAUGAUUCGUCGCCGUAGGAUGAGACUGCGGCUUAUCAGCUUGUUGGUGAGGUAAUGGCCCACCAAGGCUAUUACAGGUACGGGCUCUGAGAGGAGAAGCCCGGAGAUGGGUACUGAGACACGGACCCAGGCCCUAUGGGGCGCAGCAGGCGAGAAACCUUUGCAAUGUGCGCAAGCACGACAAGGUUAAUCCGAGUGUUUCCUGCUUAAGGAAUCUUUUGCUAGUCCUAAAAACACUAGUGAAUAAGGGGUGGGCAAGUUCUGGUGUCAGCCGCCGCGGUAAAACCAGCACCUCAAGUGGUCAGGAGGAUUAUUGGGCCUAAAGCAUCCGUAGCUUGCUCUGUACAGUUUCCGGUUAAAGAUCCAUUAGGCUCAACUAAUGGCCUGCCGGAAAUACUGCAGAACUAGGAAGUGGCAAAGGUACACGGUACUCGGUAGGAAGGGGUAAAAUCCUUUGAUCUAUUGAUGACCACCUGUGGCGAAGGCGGUCUACCAGAACACGUUCGACAGUGAGGGAUGAAAGCUGGGGGAGCAAACCGGAUUAGAUACCCGGGUAGUCCCAGCGUAAACGAUGCAGACUCGAUGAUGCACUGGCUUGUGGCCAGUGCAGUGUCGCAGGGAAGCCGUUAAGUUUGCCGCCUGGGAAGUACGUACGCAAGUAUGAAACUUAAAGGAAUUGGCGGGGGAGCACCACAAGGGGUGAAGCCUGCGGUUCAAUUGGAUUCAACGCCGG